GUUUGAUCCUGGCUCAGAUUGAACGCUGGCGGCAUGCCUUACACAUGCAAGUCGAACGGUAACAGGUUAAGCUGACGAGUGGCGAACGGGUGAGUAAUGUAUCGGAACGUGCCCAGUCGUGGGAGAUAACUGCUCGAAAGAGCAGCUAAUACCGCAUACGACCUGAGGGUGAAAGCGGGGGAUCGCAAGACCUCGCGCGAUUGGAGCGGCCGAUAUCAGAUUAGGUAGUUGGUGAGGUAAAGGCUCACCAAGCCGACGAUCUGUAGCUGGUCUGAGAGGACGACCAGCCACACUGGGACUGAGACACGGCCCAGACUCCUACGGGAGGCAGCGGUGGGGAAUUUUGGACAAUGGGCGCAAGCCUGAUCCAGCCAUGCCGCGUGCGGGAAGAAGGCCUUCGGGUUGUAAACCGCUUUUGUCAGGGAAGAAAAGGUUCUGGCUAAUACCUGGGACUCAUGACGGUACCUGAAGAAUAAGCACCGGCUAACUACGUGCCAGCAGCCGCGGUAAUACGUAGGGUGCAAGCGUUAAUCGGAAUUACUGGGCGUAAAGCGUGCGCAGGCGGUUAUGCAAGACAGAGGUGAAAUCCCCGGGCUCAACCUGGGAACUGCCUUUGUGACUGCAUGGCUAGAGUACGGUAGAGGGGGAUGGAAUUCCGCGUGUAGCAGUGAAAUGCGUAUAUAUGCGAAAGACCACCGAUGGCGAAGGCAAUCUCCUGGAGCUGUACUGACGCUCAUGCACGAAAGCGUGGGGAGCACACAGGAUUAGAUACGCUGGUAGUCCACGCCUAAACGAUGUCAACUGUUUGUUGGGAGGGUUUCUUCUCAUAACAUAGCUAUACGUGAAGAUGACGACCUGCCGACUCCGUCGCAGAAUGGAACCAAGCGAAUAGAUGCGAUCCCACAGCCACGCGAUGAUAUUUCUCUUCUAUGCACACCGAGCGAUACUCUCCUACCUUGUAUGUAUAUGAACCUGACAAUAGCAAGCGGCGAUAGAGCAGACGGCGGCGCUAGUCUAGCUCGGCGGUAGGCGAGUAUGACCAGCG
rnacentral:rRNA from 1 species